UCCGUAGGUGAACCUGCGGAAGGAUCAUUGUCGAGACCCAUUGACGAGGACGACCGCGAAUGCGUCAACGAAUGCUCGUUAGUCGGGCUCGUCCCGACGAUGCCCCAACGUCGACCCGCCCUCGGGGUGGGACGACGGCGGGGAUGAACUACCAACCCCGGCGCGAAGAGCGCCAAGGAACACAAACAUCGGAGUCGGAGGGGCCUUGCCGCGUGCGGGAGGCCGCCAUUCCGACCGCGACCCCAUUGGACGACUCUCGGCAACGGAUAUCUCGGCUCUCGCAUCGAUGAAGAACGUAGCGAAAUGCGAUACCUGGUGUGAAUUGCAGAAUCCCGUGAACCAUCGAGUCUUUGAACGCAAGUUGCGCCCGAGGCCAUCCGGCCAAGGGCACGCCUGCCUGGGCGUCACGCUUUCGACGCUUCGUCGGUACCCCCCUCCCGGGGGGCGGAGGCGAAUGCGGAGGAUGGCCCCCCGUGCUCGAAGGUGCGGUUGGCCGAAGAGCGGGCCGUCGUUGGUUGUCGAACACGACGCGUGGUGGAUGCCUUGUGCGAGCCGUACGUCGUGCCUUCGGGACCCGGACGAGGCCUCGAGGACCCAAGCCGUGGCGCGAGUCGAUGCCACGGACCGCGACCCCAGGUCAGGUGGGGCUACCCGCUGAGUUUAAGCAUAUCAAUAAGCGGAGGA
rnacentral:rRNA from 1 species